rnacentral:rRNA from 2 species
UAGGGAAUCUUCGGCAAUGGACGAAAGUCUGACCGAGCAACGCCGCGUGAGUGAAGAAGGUUUUCGGAUCGUAAAACUCUGUUGUUAGAGAAGAACAAGGACGUUAGUAACUGAACGUCCCCUGACGGUAUCUAACCAGAAAGCCACGGCUAACUACGUGCCAGCAGCCGCGGUAAUACGUAGGUGGCAAGCGUUGUCCGGCUUUAUUGGGCGUAAAGCGAGCGCAGGCGGUUUCUUAAGUCUGAUGUGAAAGCCCCCGGCUCAACCGGGGAGGGUCAUUGGAAACUGGGAGACUUGAGUGCAGAAGAGGAGAGUGGAAUUCCAUGUGUAGCGGUGAAAUGCGUAGAUAUAUGGAGGAACACCAGUGGCGAAGGCGGCUCUCUGGUCUGUAACUGACGCUGAGGCUCGAAAGCGUGGGGAGCAAACAGG